GGAUAACAUUGUUUUGCUAUUUGCAGCCAAUAACACAAUGACAUGUGAAAAAGUUAUCCUACUUGUCAUUGUGUUAUUGGCCGGGGAUAGCAAAAAGUGAUAUCC
rfam:Prunus persica cultivar Lovell chromosome G4, whole genome shotgun sequence.